rnacentral:rRNA from 1 species
UAGUAUUAAUAGUUAUGGUCUUUAAAUUAAAAGAAUUUGGCGGUAAUUUAGUCUGUUCAGAGGAAUCUGCCCUAUAAUUGAUGUUCCACGAUGGAUUUUACUUUUCUUGGGCUUGUAUAUCUCUGUCAUUGAAUGUCUUAUUAGAGUAUUUUCUUUAAUCAUUAAUGUGGAAAAUGUCAGGUCAAGGUGCAGCAAUGGGGAAGAAGAGGUGGAUUACAUUAAAUUUAUUUAUGGAUAAAUAAAUGGAAAUUAUUUUGAAAUUGGAUUUGAAAGUAACUUCUAU